GUGGGGAAUAUUGCGCAAUGGGCGAAAGCCUGACGCAGCGACGCCGCGUGAGGGACGACGGCCUUCGGGUUGUAAACCUCUUUCAGCAGGGACGAAGCGAAAGUGACGGUACCUGCAGAAGAAGCACCGGCCAACUACGUGCCAGCAGCCGCGGUAAUACGUAGGGUGCAAGCGUUGUCCGGAAUUAUUGGGCGUAAAGAGCUCGUAGGCGGUUUGUCACGUCGGAUGUGAAAACUCGGGGCUCAACCCCGAGCCUGCAUACGAUACGGGCAGACUUGAGUUCGGCAGGGGAGACUGGAAUUCCUGGUGUAGCGGUGAAAUGCGCAGAUAUCAGGAGGAACACCGGUGGCGAAGGCGGGUCUCUGGGCCGAUACUGACGCUGAGGAGCGAAAGCGUGGGGAGCGAACAGGAUUAGAAACCCUUGUAGUCC
rnacentral:rRNA from 1 species